CACCAAAGGGCCUUCUUUUAUGGAGGUCUUAAACAUACAGGACCGCCCACAGGGUUUUUCAGAACAACCAAUAAAAACAUUACAACACAUACAAUAAAGUAAACCACUCCCAGCAGAAAUCCUCCCCUCUGCCUGUGAUACAAUUAUCUCAGCACAAUAGACAAACUUAAUUAUCACAGGCAGAAAAUAUACAGUUUUUACACAAUUCUUAUAACUUUAAAAGUAUACAUGCAAUAUUAAUAAAAGUUACAUAUUUGAAAUCAGCGUCCUUUCAAUAUAAAUAUAUUCAAAAAUCAUAAAAAUCCAUCCAGUAGAUCAAAAGUUAGCUGGAAGUCCUUUAUGACUGACCGCAAGCACAUUUU